AAAUGAGGGGGAUGUGGAGGACUCUGGGGCACUGAGAAGCCCGGAUUGAGCUGGGUGCAUCCCUCAGCUGUCUCCAGCACUAUCUACUUCUCACAAAGGAGUGGGGGGCAGAAAAGCUGGUGAAGGGAGGUGCCAAGAAACAAAGGCAGUGGGAAUCCCCGAAUUCCCCUGUAGGUGAUUUCACAUUAAAUAAAACGAGUGCUCUACAUUUGUAAUCUUAUUUAAUCCUCGCAACUCUACAAAGUAUCACCGUUUUACAAAUGUGGGUUGAGGCUUAAAGAAGUCAAAAAACUUGCCCAGGGUCAAGCGCUAACGAGUGACAAACAUGAGAUUUAAACACACAUGAUUUCCGCCACGAGAUGUUUCCGCCGUACAGUGAAAACUCCAGGCCACACUCAUCGUAGAAUGUGGCUGGAAGUGGCUGAUGGUAAAGGCCAUGCGCUCUGGUGCAGGCCAGGCAAGAACAAGCAUAGCUCCAUGAGGAAGGCAAGACUGGCUUCCUCCACCCUAAGUCCUCAAAUGACCUGAAAGACCGCAACGCUCUGGGAAACAAAGCUAUUCUGUGUAUCAAAUCACCCCCACCUCUACCAAAGCCAGCAUCCAGUCUUCCAAUAGCUUUAAACUUCAUUACUGGCUCAGAGUCACUGGAUGGGAGCCCAGUCUCUAAUUCUCAGGUUCAAGAUCAGUCUGCCAAGGCCAGGGUUAUUUCCACCACCUCUUCUACUUUCAUGGAAUAGGAAGUACUUUCACGGGAAGAGCAAAAAUGUCACAUCAAAUCCGUUUCUGACGAAGCCUUUUUGAACAAAUUAUAUAAAGCAAGAGGCCAUGAAGCCGAUUUUAAGUUUCCAGAAUGGAAAGGAGCCAGGGAAAUGAAAAUAAACAUGGUGCAGUCCUUGGGAGAUUUCUUAGAACAGGACAAAGGAGCCGACCAAAAUUCUCUUUCUCAUUUCCUAGUUGGAGAGGAGUCCAUGCUGCUUGGGGCAUUUGCUAUUAUGGAAUCAGAACCAAAGGCACAAGGUACACACACGCGUGCGCGCACACACACACACAUUUGAUUAGUUCUUCCCA
rnacentral:lncRNA from 1 species